UAUUACAGUGACUCACAUUGUCAUAGCAUUGAUAGAGACGGCUUUUAGAAAAAGAUAGCAGUCUAGUGGCUGACACGCAAAACUGGGAGUCUUUUUUCCUGCCUUUGACACCUCGCUGUUCCUCUGACUUCCUCUAUUUUUCAUGAACAACACAAUCCCUUGCUUGUGGUUCACUCACCUAAACAGUAAUGCAGACACAUUGCCAGACCCAAGAGGCAAUACAGUGAUGAUUAUUUAGUUUCUGCAAAGUUACUAAGACCAUGUGUAUUAAUUACCUAGACAGACAAAACUCCUGGGGUAGAGGUGAUUAUCGUUUAUUAGACCAACAAGAUAGUUGAUAGUUAUUUGUAUUGCCUAGACAUUUUUGUAUUGCCUAGAUGUUUUUUAAGCAUGCAGUUAGUGGCUUUCCUGUUUUUUGUGUGUUUUAUCUUUUUCCAGCAGCUGAUUUCUGUCUUGGGACCAGCAGCCCAGAGUGCAAGAGCAGAACCUGACUUCUGCUUCCUCCAUCCUCCCAGCACUGCCUUUCCGCUGACACGACCUUCUGCUGCAGGUGGGGCCGUGGCUGGUGCACGAACUGGCUCUGUCACCCGUGUCAUUCAGAAAGCGGCAGUUUUCCCCUGCGCGAGGGGAACUCUCCAUUGACCAUGGCAGAGCGAGCAGCGCUGCGUCACACUGGGUUGUGCCCCGAAUACAGAAUCGGAUUGUAGACCAGCCGUGAACAAAGGGUGGGGCAUGCUUCCAAACCAUGGGAAUCCAUGCGAACUGCAUCAUAUACUGAAGCGUGAUGCAAGGCAAUGGGAAUAAUGAAGAAUGUUAAUAUAUUGCAGCAUGUUGGUUCAAUGAAGAGUGCUGCAUUUCAGCACAUUGCACAGCACUGAAACCCAUUCCACCACUGACUGCUAAAAACCCUUCACAACCUCUCUUUUUUUCCCCUUUGAUACCUGUUACCCCCUAUUUUAAGCUUUGUGUGCAGCAAUAGAAGCAGCACUGUGCAGACCAAGACCAUUGAGGCCAUUUUUGUCUACCAGUAACUUGAGCAUCUUUCAGAUAAGCAUUUUUCUGUCUCUGCUGUGCAUGAAAGUUGAAUUCAGUCUCAUUUUUACAGUAGUGAGUGCUGCUGAUUGUUCCUUCGGCAUUUCUCAAAGUGUUGGUACCUAUGAAUUAUGAUCUAGCUCCACAGUCAGGGACUCCUAUCGUAAAAAGUAAAAAAUGGUGCACACUCCAAUCAAUAACCUUCUGUGGCCCCAUCUGCCCUGGAUUUGGUAUGCUCUCCAAUGAUAGCUUGAGCCUGUCGUACAUAGCGUGAUUUCUUCCUAGUGGUGAUUUGUCUAGAGAGGCCAGCUUGGAAGGCUUCAGAAGGCGUGCGAAGGUAGAGAAGCAGGAGGAAAAGGAAGCCUGCUCGAGAGAACUGUAAGGGAGGUCAAGCAAAAGCAAUACACCACGUGAACCUUUCCAUCUGAGGCUGUUUACUUUGAAAGCCAAACCGGCUUCCCUUGAUGUCAGUGACCUCAGAGGGAGCGAGAUUUGGUGCUUAUUGGAGUAUCUGAGGAGGUGCCACUGCCAUCUUUCCCUUUGGAUAGAAGGGCUUCAGCACCGAGUUACACUGAUUUAACUAAAAUGGAGACUUCGCUCCGUUUUCAUUCAGCUAAACCAAUGCAAGUUUAUGUGGAGGCUUGGUCUAAUGAUCAUAGGAUCUGUCUUCUCCUUUUGUGAAACUGCCAUCAUGGAAGGGAUGAAGCAAAAGCUGUAUCCACUGUGACUUUUCCUUCUGGAAGGGACUGCCAGCAUAGACCACCCCCUGGCUUAUUGGUCAUCUAACCCUGCAUAGAGUAGGCUUGGACCACAUGGUAUCUAAAAUUCCACUGACCACCUAGAGCCCUUCUUUCACUAGGCUCCCUUUCUUACUGCCAUUGGUAGUAGGAAUAGUAAGAAACAUUAAGACAAAAAGACUAAUACAGACAAGGCCAAAAGGAAGGAGUGGACAGGACAGGGGCAAUACCAGAUCACCAAGGCACAGAGAAUGUUCUAACAUGCAUCUAAAGAUACACCGUCAUCUGGCCCCUGUUGAAUAGCAUUGUGGUUGCUCUGGCCAAGCUUGAUAAUCAUUUUUCUACUGCAAUUAUCAGUCUAAGUGGGUAGGUGGGACAGCAGGCCUGUUAUGGCUUUUAUCUUCCCAGAACCUGGGAACAAAGCCCAUCGAGGAGGAAACUGGCUUGACCAGUUGGGGGGCUGUGUAUGUAACGGUUGAGGAGUUCAAAGGAAAAGGAUGCAACAGUCAAAUUCACAAACACAUCUGGGGUUCAACUGAUAAAGUUGCAUUUUUCAGCGAAAGACAGUCUUAAAGGGAUGUUGUCAAGGGGCCAAGACCAAUGUUAGUUUUGUUUAAAAACAGAAAAGAGACUUCCAUGAAGACUAAUAGGAACCAGAAUGGUUCCUCUGUGGUUUUGCCUAUUCCAGACAAACCAUGACUGUUCCUAUCAAGGAUGACCAAUUUCUGUUUGCACAAUGCAUUGGCCAGUUUCUACUUUCUUCCUCAAACCGGUUCUUGCUAUUUAAAAGGUUUUUCAGUGGAGCUGAGAGGAGGGGCCCUGUGUUUUAUCCAGAUGACACCUGGGAUGGUGCCCAAUCAUGUGAUGACAACAUUGUGCUGGUCUAUGAGAAAUGGGAAGUAAAAGCAGGCAGGUCAUGGUGUGGGCUGAAAGAAAGGCAGAAAGCAAACUAACUGCUUUUCCAGUUAAAAAGUCAGGGAGAGCUACCAGUUGAUUUCAGUGUCAAGAAUAGAAAGUAUGGGGCUUCAGGCUCAUGCACAGUGCUUCCUCACGGUCAACUGCAUUAUGUUAAUGGUUGUAUUUAUUUGACACAAGGUAAGGCAUUAAUUUGAGUGAAGACUUGCGACUGAUUCUUUGAAAGUCUGGCUCUGUUUCUUGUUUCCCCAGAGCCUCAGAAGGCACGUUGCACACUAGACGUUGCAGUAGGAAUAUAUCACAAGUGCUACAAUUCUGUGGCUACAGACCAAGAGAAGCAAGAUGCCAGGGAUUUGACAGGGAUAUUACCUGCACCCCACGCCCAGUGCAGGGUUCUUGCUGACGAGCCUAUAGAAUCCAAGGAUUUGUGUCUACACAUUUUUCCCUGGUUUAAAAAACUGAGUUAAAUUAAAGAAAAUCCUGUGAGGAUUAGUAUACAUUAUAUUCCAGUGGGUUCUCUCAGGGUGGUUUGUACACUGCCACUACUACAAUGCUAGUGAUAACUGAGCUAUCUAGUUUUAAAAGAGCUCAAGUACAUCUACACCAGCUACCCGUACACCUUUGACUGCCCUGUAGAUGAGACACAAACUCUCUGUAGUAGAACAAAAACCUAAAACUGAGUUCCCCAAGAGCCGCGUGGAGAGGCGUAACAGCCAGACCACCUUUUCUUUGCUAAGGGCUGUAUCCGUGCUUCUUGGAAUUUCUUUGAGCCUCACACUAGGGAUUUUCCUGAAGAUUUCUUCUUUAGGAUGAAAUCUAGCUAAAGCCUAGCAGUGAGUAAUACAGUGAACAAAGAGCAAGAGAGUGUCUGUCUGACAGCAGCACUGAAAGAAACUAUUGAAAUUAACUCCCUGGCUGGGGUUCACUACCCAUGAAUGCAGUUACCUAUAGAUCCUCACGUGCUGCAGGAAUGAAAUGCAAGGAAAAAGACUGCUAACACAAAAGCCAAACUCCCUUCCCAUCUUAGAGGAUGAUGCCUUCUGGUGGAGCAGUGUAGACACGGAGGAUCUUGCAUGCAGUGCCAUUGCCAGAUUGUUAUAGCCUGUGGACAAGGAGGUCUUUGUUUCCCAGGCCUGUCACUGAGCCCAUAGCCUACAUUUAUGGGGCUUCUGCUGUUCCUGUAGCUACGAUGGUGGGCACCCUUGAUAUAGACACAGCUCGGCCAGAAGAAGGAGCCUAUCCUAAACCUACCUGACGCUACUGUGACACAAGAACCGAUAGAUAUAGACAAGAUCUCGGCUGACUUGAGAGUUCGAGAAGGACUAGCAUUAGUUGGAGGCUCAGCGUAUACCUAGCCUGCAACAAGUCGCACGCUGGUUUUGUUUUGGAAUGGUUGGACUUGCCACGGCAUCUCAUGAAAUGCUGAACUCACGUGUGAUAUGAGCAGCAGAGAAAUGUUUUCAAGUGAACGCGGCUUCUGAUGAAUGGUUUUGAAGAACGUGUUGGUUUGGCCUUGCAAGGUCCCUGCGCUGGAAGUGUUUAUCAGCGUGGAGCUGUCAUGCUUUUCAAGUGCUAGAAAAGGUGUUUUUUUUUUUUUCCAGCCCAGAAUCUCUGUCUGUAUAGAAUAAUGUUUGGCGUUUGGAGAAUUGUUGUUUCUAACCAAGAUAAUUUUUCCCUAGUUUUAUCUCAUGUGACAAAACAAGUGGACCUUGAAUUGCAUUUUAAUGUCAGAUUUCAAUUAUAUGGCUAUAACAAAAGGUUACUUGGAGGUAUUUUGUUAUCCUUUUGUUGACAUGUCCUUGUCUAAUGUUUGUUGCUUGAAAUCUCCAUUUUCUCUACUUCUGUUUGUUUUCUGAAAGGGCUAAAUUAGAGAGAGUGCUUGUGUGGACGGAGGAAACAAAAGGGCAAGCUGCAUGCAGCCAUAAAGAGAUACUGAAAACCUAUGGAAUAACAAGCCUGUGCUGAACAGGGGCGACUAGCAUCUUAUUAAACCUUUUGAAGUUGUCACAUCCAGGCUAGAGACUGUUCUGACGCUUCCUCUUGGCUCCACAAUUUUUUAAGCUUGAUGCAGAAAUUGCUGGGGAAAUUCUGCCAUCUGUUUAUUAUGCAGGAGGUCAGACAAGAUGAUUUCAGUGGUUCCUUUUGGCUUAAAAAAUGUACAAAACUGUGAUUCAUUUUCUGAGCCUGCUCUCAGAGCUUCGAGAAGGAUUUGUCUUGGGAGAGUGAGACCAGCAGAACCGAUCCAGUCUUCUGUUGUCCUUUCAUGAUGCCCAGGAGUGAAAAUCGGACCUGGUGUGCAAAUGUCAAUAUGGGUGGCAAAAGCAACUCCACCUUGACUUUUAUUUUUUUUAGGGGUCUCCCACAACCACAGGAAUUGAGCUGCCUCAUGCCAAUCCUGAUUCUAAAGAAAUCUAAGGGCCAACUCAUCACCACGGGUUAACUGAUGACUGCCUGCCUUGCUGCCAUAGGGAAUUGAAUACCAUGUGAUAUCACAGUGAAGCACAUCUAUCUCUGCCCUUGUUACUGCCCAUAAGCUUCAUCCAGAGACUGCCAAACCCAUAGCCACAGGAAACUAGAAAGGACAGUGGGAAAGCUACUUGCCUAUAUACAUUUAAAAAAAACCAACUUCCUGAACAAAACAAACUCCAGUUUUUCUGUAGCAAUGGAAAAUUCUUGAGAAUCUGAAUAGUGAGAAUGAGAGAAAAUCAUGUAACAGUGGCUCCUUUCUCUCAGAUGUGCAGCCUGAAGUGAUUGUGAAUGUCACAAGUGCACAGAAAUGAGUACUAACUAGUUACAGCUCAUUUUCCCCUGUUUAUGUAGCUAAUGACUCCAGUCUAACCCCUACCCCAUCCUUUGUUCUACCAGUUCAGCCAAUAACUUCGAGCAGUGUAACUCACUUGGGGCAUAACUUUACUGCAGAUCUAUCUGAGGAGUCAUUCCUAAUAACUUCCUCUCCAUCUAUAAAGAGCUAAAACCAGUGUUUGGUCGUUCUUUAAACCCGAGCCUAUUGGCUUGUCUGGAUGAUAGGAUCCUUUGUAGUGAGGAUGUAAGCUAAACCACUCCAGUACAGUGUAUUGUGAGGACAAGUUACUAUUACAGAAUGAAUGGAAUCAUAUGGUUGAAUGGUCACAGUUGCAACCACAUGUGUUUUAAUCCAGCCAAGUGCAAAGUAAUUCAUUUGGGAACCAAGGAUGUAGAUUAUAUAUGUAGGUUGGGAGAGACUGUCUUGGAAAUCAGUGACAUGGAAGAAGACUGUAGAUAGCCAUCUUAUGGUGCAGUUCCAGGGGGAAAAGAUCAUUGCAAUUCUGGGGUGUGUUAUGUGGGGGAAAAACAAGCAAAAGUAAGGACAUAGCCUUACUUCUGAAUGCACCAUAGGUAAGGCCACUACAAGAGUACUCUGUCCAGUUCUGAUACCUUCUCCAAUACUGUGGAAACACUACAAGGAGCUCAGAGGACAGCUGCAAAAUUAACCCAUGGCCUGGAGAGCAAAGUUAAACAGCUCAACUGUUGAGUUUAUCACAAAGAAGGCUGAGAGGUGAGUUGAUCUCUGGGCAUAGGUGGUUGCCCAGGUAAUGGGAGGCUUUUCAGUCUUGCAGAAAGGGCAUGAGAUCUAGCGGCUGGAAAUUGGUGUUAUACGUUUAAUUUGACCUUUAAAUAAGAUGCAGUUUCCUGGAAGCAAAAGAAUUAAAUAUUGGAACAGCUUAGCAGGGAAGGUGAUGGCCUUACUAUAGUUUGGAGUCUUUGACAUGAGAUAUUAAGUAGCUUUCUUUAAAAUGUGGGUAAUCUAGUUUCUGGGAGAAAUUCUAUCGCGCGCACAUGCAGGGAAUCGGUCUUAAUGGUCAUUUGGGAUCUGUAUCCUCCCAGUUCUUUCCUUUCUUUUAUAGGCUGUGGGGAGAGCAGAGUUGUGUACACUACUUUCAGUGUAUCCCUAAUACAUGCUGUUCUGCAUUAGGACAAUGGCUAUUAUCAAACACCAUACUGCAGAAGCUGGGAAAGGGGACUUUGCCUUCUGCUGAAGUAUCUGAGAUUGGCCACAACUGAGGAGGGAAAGGUGGACCAGAGCUGCUAAAUUAUGUAAAGGAUCCUUUUCUCUUGGAUGUCUGACUACUUCUAGUGCAUCUUGCUCACAUGAUGAGGGGUAAAACUAAUUGCUGGGAAUUAAUUUUUCACAAAUCAGAUUGGCAGAGACUGUGGCAAUUUUUAUGCCUUCUUUACAGACCUAGGCAGUUUUUUUGCAAAGUGUCUUGAUGUUGUGGAAAGUCUGUAGGUUAAAACUGGUUCCAAAUGGUACUUUCACAUGCUGCCACAUUAUUUCUCUGCAGCAAAAUGACAUUCAGAAGAGCGAGAUUCUGUCCUGCAUUUGAAAAUCUUUGAAAAAUGGUUUCCUUCCAUUGAUCCAUAUGAAGAAGGGGAAAGUGGAGCACCAACAGGAAAUGCCUUUCAAAGUCCUUUUUGAUCAAUGCAUUUGGUUGGAUAAUGAGUUUUUAUCCUUAACACCCCACUGCAUGUUAUUCCUUUCCUUCACAAGCAAACCCCCCCCCCCCCAACCAUGUCUCCAUGAGGAACACUUUGUAAACCUUUCUUAACAUUAGUAUCACUAGUUUGGCUUUACUGGCAUGAGAAAUGUGGGAGCUUGAGCCCAUAAUGGGUCCCUGCAAUGCACAAAGGAGCAGCAGCUGUAUUCUCUGCUAUUGGUACCUUAAAGGGAACUGAAGAGGUGCUAGCAACUUUGGCAAUAUCUUGCUGAAUGACCUAGUGUAGACACAGCUUAAGUGACUCGAUACUAGUGGCAGUGAAACCCAGAAAGAAAUUUCAUGCUAGUUCAUGACCUUAUCUAUGCCUCCUUUAUCUUAAGCAUCCCAUAGAAUUGGGAGGAGCGGUGGGGAGAAUAGGAUCAUAGGAAAGUAAGGCCAGAAGGGACUUCACAAAGUCAUCUAAUCCAACCCCCUGCUCAAUGCAGGAUCAUUCCUGACUAACCAUCCUUUCCAAGUGUCUAUCCAACUUGCUCUUGAAAAUACCAAAGAUGGAGAUUCCAGUUUCCUAGGUAGCCUGUUCCAAUGAUUUUGACCACCCUCAUGGUCAGAAAGUUCCUCCUUAUCUCCAACCUAAAUAUCCUCUAUUGCAUCUGGAGUCCCUUGCUCCUAGUCCUGUUCUGUACUGCCACAAAGAAAAGCCUAUCUCUGUUCUCUCUAUAGUUACCCUUCAGGUACUUAAGACUGUUAUCAGCUUCUCUCGCGGUCUUGUCUUCUCCAGACUAAAUAACCCUAGCAUUUUCAGCUUUUCCUCAUGACUCUUGCUUCCCGGGCCUCUAAUAAUUGUUGCUCUGAACUGAACUCUUACUAAUGUGUUCACACCCUUCUUGAAGGGUGAGUCCAGAACUGUACACAGGUGAGGGCCUCACUGGUGUUGAAUAGAGAAGAAUCACUUCCCUUGAUUUUUCAAGUGGCACUCCUGUUAAUACAUCGUUGAGUCUAGGUAAAAGAAACUAAGGGCCAAAUUCUCAGCUGAUAUAAAUUGGCUCUGUUGACCGUAAGGAGCUACACCAAUUUACAACAGCUGAGGAUUUCUUUCCACAGGACUAUCAGUGGGACUGUAUGUGCCAUGUAAUGCUGUAUCCAGAUAACAGAUACCUCCUUCCUUUUGCGGGCAGGUAGAUGUAUACAAGCCAAAUUCUGCAGAUGUAGUUUCCACCGUAUCCUGAUUUUUUUUAAACCAAAGUGUCAAACUUUCCCCCCAGAAUAUGCAUUCAAACAGUCGCCCAAUGAUCUAAAUCUGUAAGAGCUGCAUUUGGCCAUAGCACUGAGCCAAACAUGUAGCAUGAAUACUUGACAUGCCUGGCAUUUACUGGCACGCACAGGCCAUAUUGUAAUUCUCUUUGUGGGGCAGAUUGCUCUGAUGCAUUGCCGCAAAAUUACAACAGUAUAACAAAAUUAUGAACCAACUGUAGCGAUUGUUUUUCCACAUCACCCUCAGACCAUGAUUUUAUGCUUUUCUUUUUUAAUUUGUAGGCAUAGUCAAGGUACAAUUCACUUCGCGUUAUUUGUCACUAGCUGAUGGAUGACACUUUUUUCACUUAAAGGAAAACAAUGUGAUUAUAAACUUGAACAAAUGUGCAUUUUUCUCAAGCCUUCCAUAAAAUGUGUAUUAUGAGUUACUCCAGCAUCUUUAAGAGAACAUUGUUUCUUUGGGAAGUUGGGGGAGGGAUAUCAUUUACCCUUAAUUUCAUCAUCCUUUUGACUGGAAAAAAUGUAAUUUGCCCAAAUGAUUAAAAAAAAA